GCUGACAUAGCAGAGGGGUUCAAAAUACCUGGCAAUUCCCACCUGCAAUACUAAGGACUUUUAAAGCCAUAUGUAAAAGCUUCCUCCACCCCUCUCUUUAGAGGCCUAGUUAACCCAGCAACUCCCCGAUUGGGGGAAAUAAAAUUUAAACUCUAGAGAUAAAUGGACUAAUUUGCUGUGAUGCAGAUCAUUCCAUGGGCUAGUCUGUCUCCCGGGGCUGGUGACAAUUGCUAAAAUCCAUAAGCAUGACUGGUGGUAAGAGUCAGUGAGGAAAGCCACAAAGCUCCAUGGUGUCAUGGAUGCUGUUUAUGGGAUGCAACAGAGAGGAUGGGAUGGUUAAUAUCGUCUGUUCCCUCGGAAAACGAAGUGUUGUAAGUGUUGCUGCGUGAAGUCUGCCCUUCUCAGGCUAAAAACUGAGCUUUCUGAAAGGCAAAUGAAUGGUCCCCCUAACCAUGCAGAGAGAGAUUCCACUGAAGCCAAGAGAGAGCCAUGACAUGGACCCGAGAGCCAAAUGUAACAGCAGGACUUAACACUGGAGUUCAGAAGGAAGCAGAAGACACACAGAGGAGCAAGGAGAAAGCACCAAAAGGGGCAGCAGAAUCAAAGGAGGGAGCCCUGCAGGGCACAGCAAGGCACCUGGGGCUGCGGAGUCCACAAGGUGCACAGGAGAGAGGCUCAGAGAGCUGGGAAGCAGACAGGAAGGAGAGAAGCAGGAACAGGAGGACAUGAAGGAAAACUCUGUCCAAAACAACUGGAAAACGAAAGGCUGCUGGGGACAAAGAUUUGGAGCCACUGACUCUCCACCGUGACCUCUUGGGAAGGCCUCUGUGCUCAAUUUUGGAUGGCUGUACUUGCUAUCAUUCAUCUGUGUCUACAUCUCAAUCUCCCGAGAAUGAUUCAGCUCUCUCAAAGAAGCACCAAAGAAAGAGCUUCCCGUUCUCCACUCCCCACCUCUCUUCUACAAGAGAGGAAGGGAAGUAGCUCCUAUGCAGGUGAAGAAACUAAAACCUUGAAGUCAAGAGACCUUCCCAAAGUUCACAGUGCUAGAAAAGCACAACCAGACCUUCUCACACUGCCACAGUGAACAGAGAGGGUAUGCACACGGUUCAUUAGAGCCCUCCCAGGAUCCCUCCAACCUACCCUCCCAUUGCCAGGCAGUUCUUGGCACUGGCACCUGGAAUUCCAUCAUUAAGUAUAUUGUUGGUCAUAAAGAUUUGUCCUCAGUCAAACUUUGCUAUAAAAAUGGUUAUGUGCAUUUGCUGCCUAUCACUGUCAUAGAAAUGGUAAGUUUCAGAACCCUCCGGGCAACUUAGCUGAGUGCUGCCCUUUAUUAAAGAUGAUGCCUAAUUAAGAGGAAAUUCUGCUGAGGAAGUGGUAGUGCGCUACAGAACACACUAGAACUCUGGCACAGUGGAGAAGGGGCAGUGAGCAGGAGAGUAAGAAAAAAGGACCGGCUGAAAGAGAGGGGAGCCGACGCCUAUGUUCUCACAGCUUUAUGAUUUUGCCUAGAGCUGAUCUUUAAUGCACACAUAGCAUUUUGAAAUGUAUGGAAAAUCAGGUUCAAGCUGCUUAGCCCAAAGAUUAAGGCCCCCACCCACCGCCCGGCCUCAUCUACCCCGCUUCCUAUCUCCUAGGCACAUCAUAAGAAUCCUCUAUACUAAUGAAAUGGAUGAUUUUUCAAUCCCUGCAAAACUGCUUCAAUUAUUUCAGCCUGUGUGUCUGAAAUGUUACCACCCUCCGCUCCAGGUCCUCUGUUACCUGUCAGCCCAGCAUCCAGCUUUGCUUCCAUAAACUAGUCUUUAAAUCCUGCCCCAACAAGCAAGGAUCCAUCUGCUCCCCUCAACUCUCAGAGCACUCAGCUGUGACCCUGCUCCAACACCAGCCUUCCUGGCCUGAGUCACGAGUGAAACAAACAGGAGAUGCUAUCACCUGAUGACCACUCAGCAAUGAAGUGCUCCAGGGCACUUCCAUGUAUGUCUUGUCCCUGGAUAUGAGCAAUAGGCUAGAAAGCUAAAAAGAUUUUGAAUUUUUUUGCACCUCCCUUCCAUAGAUAAAAACAGAGGUUCUGGGAAGAUAUGUGAAUUCCUGGCCUGUAUGUGGAAGAUACUGUCAUUUUUUGUCGAACCGUAAGAAGGCUGUGUCAGCUCUCCAGCAAUCUCACUAUUCCCCUGUGGUUGCCAAGACAGCUGAAAAAAUCAUCCAUACAUUUCAGUCCUCUUGGAGUCUACCUUUCAGUCCUGCUAUUUUCCUCCUCUUGUUACAAGCUUCAGAAAGAAGGUGGCUCUAAACUGAACUCUGACUUUGAAUUCUUUUAUACAUUAACUUACUCAAAUGAUUGAAAGUAGAUUGUUUACAAAAAUGGAUACAACAGAAAUGUAAAAGGUCAGGUCCAAGAAAAAAACAGAAGAAAAAUAAAAGUGAAGGUCAAGACCAGGUGAA
rnacentral:antisense_RNA from 1 species